rnacentral:rRNA from 1 species
AGCUCCAAUAGCAUAUAUUAAAGUUGUUGCAGUUAAAAAGCUCGUAGUUGAAUUUCUGUUUGUUACGCGUUCGAAGCCAUUUGGCGACGAGCGAGUGCAAGCAUUCUUCUACUCCUGGGGUAACUCAGUGCGGUAGAGCCUUUACUUUGAGAAAAUUAGAGUGUUUCAAGCAAGCAUCGCUUUGAAUACUACAGCAUGGAAUAAUACAAUAGGACUUUAGGCCUAUUUGUUGGUUUCAGGCCUGAAGUAAUGAUUAAUAGGGACAGUUGGGGGCAUUCGUAUUGGAGAGUCAGCGGUGAAAUGCGAUGAUUUCUUCAAGACGAACUACUGCGAAAGCAUUUGCCAAAGAUGUUUUCA